GUGGGGAAUCUUAGACAAUGGGGGAAACCCUGAUCUAGCCAUGCCGCGUGAGCGAUGAAGGCCUUAGGGUUGUAAAGCUCUUUCAGCUGGGAAGAUAAUGACGGUACCAGCAGAAGAAGCUCCGGCUAACUUCGUGCCAGCAGCCGCGGUAAUACGAAGGGGGCUAGCGUUGCUCGGAAUUACUGGGCGUAAAGCGCACGUAGGCGGACCAGAAAGUCAGGGGUGAAAUCCCGGGGCUCAACCCCGGAACUGCCUUUGAAACUCCUGGUCUUGAGGUCGAGAGAGGUGAGUGGAAUUCCGAGUGUAGAGGUGAAAUUCGUAGAUAUUCGGAGGAACACCAGUGGCGAAGGCGGCUCACUGGCUCGAUACUGACGCUGAGGUGCGAAAGCGUGGGGAGCAAACAGGAUUAGAUACCCCUGUAGUCC
rnacentral:rRNA from 1 species